AUUGAACGCUGGCGGCAUGCCUUACACAUGCAAGUCGAACGGCAGCACGGGUGCUUGCACCUGGUGGCGAGUGGCGAACGGGUGAGUAAUACAUCGGAACGUACCUUAUCGUGGGGGAUAACGCAGCGAAAGCUGUGCUAAUACCGCAUACGCCCUGAGGGGGAAAGCGGGGGAUCGCACGACCUCGCGCGAUUAGAGCGGCCGAUGCCUGAUUAGCUUGUUGGUGGGGUAAAAGCCCACCAAGGCGACGAUCAGUAGCUGGUCUGAGAGGACGAUCAGCCACACUGGGACUGAGACACGGCCCAGACUCCUACGGGAGGCAGCAGUGGGGAAUUUUGGACAAUGGGGGCAACCCUGAUCCAGCAAUGCCGCGUGAGUGAAGAAGGCCUUCGGGUUGUAAAGCUCUUUUGUCAGGGAAGAAGCACCGGCUCUAACACAGUCCGGGAAUGACGGUACCUGAAGAAUAAGCACCGGCUAACUACGUGCCAGCAGCCGCGGUAA
rnacentral:rRNA from 1 species